rnacentral:rRNA from 1 species
AGAAUCAACGCUGGCGGCGUGCCUAACACAUGCAAGUCGCACGAGAAAGGGGAGCAAUCCCUGAGUACAGUGGCGCACGGGUGAGUAACACGUGAAUAAUCUACCUCCGAGUGGGAAUAACUGAGAGAAAUCUUAGCUAAUACCGCAUAACACUUACGAGUCAAAGCAGCAAUGCGCUUGGAGAGGAGUUCGCGGCCGAGUUAGUUAGUUGGCGGGGUAAUGGCCCACCAAGACGAUGAU